CGAUUUUCAAAGCGGCAUCUGAUGGGGGCGAAAUAGGAUCGACGAGGGUGUAAAGAGCGCGCUUUUGCCCGGCAUGGUUCCGCCGUUAUCGGGCCGUUUUAUAGUUGCAAACGACAACUAUGCGGAGGCUCGUUUGGCUGCGUAAGCAGUUUGACAGUCUCGAAAAUUAAGUCCUGACCUUUCGCAAGGUCAGGCGCGGUUCGGAGGGCACCGGGCAACAGAAGCCCUCCACU
rnacentral:tmRNA from 1 species